GCAAUAAUUUUACCAGUCCAUCAAUUCCUGCGUCAUAUGAAAAUCUCUUGGAUUUCUUUUCCUCAGUCGUUUCCUUUCUUCCUUUGUACAGUCUGCCUGAAUGAAUGUUCUCUGCUCUCUCCAAGUUUCCAUUUAUGUGUUAGCAAUAUCUCCAGCCUGCAACUGUCUUCUAAGGGACUUGGAUGAAUCUGGAAACCAUAAUUCUCAGCAAAGUGACACAAGAACAGAAAAUCAAACACCGUAUGUUCUUACUCAUAGAUUGUUUCCCAGGAAACACAGCAGAUAA
rnacentral:lncRNA from 1 species